ACCCUGCGUUCCUUCCCAUCGGCUCUGAACUCCGACCUUGGUGGUCGUAAGGAGGAAAAGCAAUGGGGAAGCUGGCCUCGCAGAGCACGGUCUGUGGGCUGGACUCGCUCUGCA
rnacentral:snoRNA from 1 species